UGAUCAUAGGAUCAUCAUGAGGAUGGUGAUCGAUCUGGAUAGACUGACGCACAUAUCAUUUUCUUUAGGAUAGAUGGAUUUCUAGUCUACAAUAUAGAAACACUGGACGACGAGUGCGGAUAGUUGUUAGAGAAUAACUAGUACUGAACGUGACCAUACGAGAGAUCACUUGAUCAUCAUGAGGACAGUGAUCGAUCCGGAUAGACUGACGCAC
rnacentral:lncRNA from 1 species